CAGGUGCCAGUGGCCCCCCACUGAGGAACUACAUCCAGGUCUGCUCCCUGAGGAUAAUUCUCAAGACUGUACUUAUUAAAAAUUUAGGCCAUUGUUGUUUUUUGCUUAUCUGUCAGGAAAAUGCUGAUAUUUUAUUGGGUCUCCUAGCAGCUAAAUUAUUAUCACCUUUUUCUCCUAGGACAUUUCUUUCAAGCAAAGAAUUCUCUAUAACAAAAACUUUAGCCCAAAGGAAUGUGUAGAGUUUCUGGUGCUGGCGCAGUCCACUUAGGGAUUUUUUGUCAGGAGUAGAGGAUC
rnacentral:lncRNA from 1 species